rnacentral:rRNA from 1 species
AUCGAACGCUGGCGGCAUGCCUUACACAUGCAAGUCGAACGGCAGCACGGGUGCUUGCACCUGGUGGCGAGUGGCGAACGGGUGAGUAAUAUAUCGGAACAUACCCUAGAGUGGGGGAUAACGUAGCGAAAGUUACGCUAAUACCGCAUACGAACUAAGGUUGAAAGUGGGGGAUCGCAAGACCUCAUGCUCAUGGAGUGGCCGAUAUCUGAUUAGCUAGUUGGUGAGGUAAAGGCUCACCAAGGCGACGAUCAGUAGCUGGUUUGAGAGAACGACCAGCCACACUGGAACUGAGACACGGUCCAGACUCCUACGGGAGGCAGCAGUGGGGAAUUUUGGACAAUGGGGGCAACCCUGAUCCAGCAAUGCCGCGUGAGUGAAGAAGGCCCUCGGGUUGUAAAGCUCUUUUGUCAGGGAAGAAACGGUCUACUCUAAUACAGUGGACUAAUGACGGUACCUGAAGAAUAAGCACCGGCUAACUACGUGCCAGCCGCCGCAGUAA